rnacentral:rRNA from 1 species
GGGCCCGCACAAGUGGUGGAGCAUGUGGUUUAAUUCGAAGCAACGCGCAGAACCUUACCAACCCUUGACAUAGAUAUCGCAGAUGCCAGAGAUGGCGUCCUUCAGUUCGGCUGGAUAUCAUACAGGUGCUGCAUGGCUGUCGUCAGCUCGUGUCGUGAGAUGUUGGGUUAAGUCCCGCAACGAGCGCAACCCUCGUCUUUAGUUACCAUCAGGUUUGGCUGGGUACUCUAGAGAGACUGCCGGUGAUAAACCGGAGGAAGGUGGGGAUGACGUCAAGUCCUCAUGGCCCUUAUGGGUUGGGCUACACACGUGCUACAAUGGCGGUGACAGUGAGCAGCGACGGGGCGACCCUGAGCUAAUCUCCAAAAGCCGUCUCAGUUCGGAUUGCACUCUGCAACUCGAGUGCAUGAAGUUGGAAUC